CACAAGCAGCGGAGCGUGUGGUUUAAUUCGAUGCAACGCGAAGAACCUUACCAGGGUUUGACAUGCUUAAAGUAGGAACUCGAAAGAGGGACGACCUGUAUCCAGUCAGGAGUUUGCACAGGUGCUGCAUGGCUGUCGUCAGCUCGUGCCGUGAGGUGUUAGGUUAAGUCCUGCAACGAGCGCAACCCUCGUCGCUAGUUGUUUUCUCUAGCGAUACUGCCCGUAUAACGUGGAGGAAGGUGGGGAUGACGUCAAGUCAGCAUGGCCCUUACAUCCUGGGCUACACACACGCUACAAUGGGUGAUACAACAGGUUGCAAUAGAGUAAUCUGGAGCCAAUCCCUAAAAUCAUCCUCAGUACGGAUUGCAGGCUGCAACUGCCUGCAUGAAGUUGGAGUUGCUAGUAAACGCAGGUCAGCCAUACUGCGUUGAAUACGUUCCCGGGGCUU
rnacentral:rRNA from 1 species